GACGAACGCUGGCGGCGUGCUUAACACAUGCAAUUCGAACGGAAAGACCCUGCUUUUGUGGGGUGCUCGAGUGGCGAACGGGUGAGUAACACGUGAGUAACCUGCCCUUGACUUUGGGAUAACUUCAGGAAACUGGGGCUAAUACCGGAUAGGAGCUCCUGCUGCAUGGUGGGGGUUGGAAAGUUUCGGCGGUUGGGGAUGGACUCGCGGCUUAUCAGCUUGUUGGUGGGGUAGUGGCUUACCAAGGCUUUGACGGGUAGCCGGCCUGAGAGGGUGACCGGCCACAUUGGGACUGAGAUACGGCCCAGACUCCUACGGGAGGCAGCAGUGGGGAAUAUUGCACAAUGGGCGGAAGCCUGAUGCAGCAACGCCGCGUGCGGGAUGACGGCCUUCGGGUUGUAAACCGCUUUCGCCUGUGACGAAGCGUGAGUGACGGUAAUGGGUAAAGAAGCACCGGCUAACUACGUG
rnacentral:rRNA from 1 species